AUUGAACUCUGGCGGCAGGCUUAACACCUGCAAGUCGAACGAGUGGCGGACGGGUGAGUAAUGCCUGGGACACUGCCUGAUGGCGGGGGAUCCCUACUGGGAACGGUAGCUAAUACCGCAUACCCUCGGAUGCCACCAGAUGGGAUUAGCUAGUAGUUGGGGUAACGGCCCACCUAGGCGACGACCCCUAGCUGGUAUGAGAGGAUGACCAGCCAAACUGGAAAUGAGACACGGUCAAGAAUCCUACGGGAGGCAGCAGUGGGGAAUAUUGCGCAAUGGGAGAAAGCCUUAUGCAGCCAUCCCGAGUGUAUGAAGAAGGCCUUCGGGUUGUAAAGUACUUACAGCGGGGAGGCGUUACCCGGAGAAGAAGCACCGGCUAACUACGUGCCAGCGGCCGCGGUAAUAC
rnacentral:rRNA from 1 species